CGCGUAGGCGGUUGGGUAAGUCAGGGGUGAAAUGCCAGGGCCUAACCUUGGAAUUGCCUUUGAUACUGCCCGGCUAGAGGGCGGAAGAGGAUAGUGGAAUUCCUGGUGUAGCGGUGAAAUGCGUAGAUAUCAGGAAGAACACCGGUGGCGAAGGCGGCUAUCUGGUCCGCUUCUGACGCUGAGGCGCGAAAGCCAGGGGAGCAAACGGGAUUAGAUACCCCGGGUAGUCCUGGCCGUAAACGAUGGGCACUGGGUGUAGGAGGUAUCGACCCCUCCUGUGCCGAAGCUAACGCAUUAAGUGCCCCGCCUGGGGAGUACGGUCGCAAGGCUGAA
rnacentral:rRNA from 1 species